GGCGUAAGGGCUCGCAGGCGGUUUCUUAAGUCUGAUGUGAAAGCCCCCGGCUCAACCGGGGAGGGUCAUUGGAAACUGGGGAACUUGAGUGCAGAAGAGGAGAGUGGAAUUCCACGUGUAGCGGUGAAAUGCGUAGAGAUGUGGAGGAACACCAGUGGCGAAGGCGACUCUCUGGUCUGUAACUGACGCUGAGGAGCGAAAGCGUGGGGAGCGAACAGGAUUAGAUACCCUGGUAGUCCACGCCGUAAACGAUGAGUGCUAAGUGUUAGGGGGUUUCCGCCCCUUAGUGCUGCAGCUAACGCAUUAAGCACUCCGCCUGGGGAGUACGGUCGCAACUACUGAAACUCACAGGAAUUGACGGGGGCCCGC
rnacentral:rRNA from 1 species